rnacentral:rRNA from 1 species
AAUAUUGGACAAUGGGCGCAAGCCUGAUCCAGCCAUGCCGCGUGAGUGAUGAAGGNCCNNGGGUUNUNAAGCUCUUUCACCGGNNNNNAUAAUGACGGUCACCGGAGAAGAAGCCCCGGCUAACUUCGUGCCAGCAGCCGCGGUAAUACGAAGGGGGCUAGCGUUGUUCGGAAUUACUGGGCGUAAAGCGCACGUAGGCGGAUCGGUCAGUUAGGGGUGAAAUCCCAGGGCUCAACCCUGGAACUGCCUUUAAUACUGCCGGUCUGGAGUUCGAGAGAGGUGAGUGGAAUUCCGAGUGUAGAGGUGAAAUUCGUAGAUAUUCGGAGGAACACCAGUGGCGAAGGCGGCUCACUGGCUCGAUACUGACGCUGAGGUGCGAAAGCGUGGGGAGCAAACAGG